UUCAUCUUCAAAGCUCUGGAUCUGAGACAGAGAAAAACACUUCUUAAAGCAGUUUAGAGUUUUAAUUAUUAAAUGUAUAUUUCUUCUCUUUUAACUUUAGGUUUUUAGACUAAAACAACACUAAACCAUCCAGAUGUUUCUCUGUUGUUGGUACAUCUUUUUCUUUGAUUCUUUUAAAAUACACUGAAUUUCACUUUUCAUUUUUCAGGUCUACAUCACACAUGCCUUCCAUAUUCCACUAUUGCUGGGAAAAGAACAUCAUGCCCUUUGGAAAUCUGUCUAUCUGUCCCAGUUCCUGGAGUUCAGUGUACAAGAGCAAGAUAAAGAAGCGAGGCUUUAAGAAUGUACAGGUGCCCCUGGAAGAGUCAGCACAUGGAAUGUCCCUGCCAAACCUCCAAGGAGACAUGUGAUGAUGGAAAGAUGCAGUGGUUUGCAGACCUGACAGGAUGACUUGAGUUGUCUCCCUGGGACAAAAAUCUGUGAUGUAAGAGAGAGACCGGCAACACUUGUCAAACCCACAAACCAUUACCCCAAUCCUUUUGCUUCAUGUGGGAACCAAUGACUCCACAAUGCAUAGCUUUCAGGAGAUCACAUGAGAUUAUGAGCCCAUGGGUAGGAAGCUGAAGGGUCUUAAUGCACAGGUCAUCAUUUCAUUGCUCCUUCUAGUUCAAGAACAUGAACCAGCAAGGGAGAGAAGGAUAAUAUAUUUCAUUGACUCUAAGGCACCAUCAAAUGUAAGGUGCACACAAAUUAUAAGAUUUUAUUUUAGGGAAAAAAGCUAAUUUUCUUAUAAUAUCUUUUAGAAUUUCUUUUGCAUGUAUAGUACUUUUUUUGUUUGCUUCAAUACAUCUUUGUAGUGCAAUCUCUCCUGUGGGGUGAAAUGUUCACAAGUCAUCCAUAUGCAUAUCUUUAUUAUUAACUCUCCCAGACUGUUGGGGAGGCACUAGAAGCAGGAAGAGCACUGAGCAAAAAUAACCACUCAUCUGGCUAAGGCUAGGGUCAAAAUGGUGGGGAUGUGGCAGAGGGCCAAAGGGCCACAUGGUUCUCAGAUCUAUUAUAUAGUACACAUCUCUGUCUCCUAUCCAUAUGGAAUAUAUACCCGUUUGACUUACCUCUUCCAUUUCAAAGGAGUCUGCAGGCUUGCCACCAAAGCCAGAUACUCUCCUGAGCAUAUGGGUCAAUAGCAAAUUGGAUUCCUUAUGUGGUCUGUCUUUAAGAGCCAUCUCACUGCAUGAAGGAAGGCGGGACUGCUUUAUAGCUGGAUGAGGCAAUGCCCAUGUUUUGCUAGCUCUGGACUGGGCGAGCUGAGUUAUAGUCAUUGCCGUUUCUGACUCUUCACUUGGGAGCAGUUCCUCUUUCAGACAGACCAAGGCAGUAUUAUCUGACAAGCUGGUCUUAGUCAUGAUAUGUAGGUCUAUAUCAGCAGCAGGGCAGUAGUCUUCCUUGACCUUGCAUGGACCAGCACUUCGGUAAACUUGAGGACCAUGAAUAGUUGUUUGUCUGGAUGCUUUCCUCAGGAGCUGGCCUAUCCUCCUUCGCUUUGUCUGUGUGACCACUGGUUUCUCCUUCAGAGAGUCUACUGCUGUCCUAUCUCUUUUUUCAUCUUCUGGCUUCUGCUGCAUAGCACUGACAUCAUUCAACAAAGAGGAAAACGCACUGGUCACAUGAUCCAGGACUUCCAAUUGUCGAAAACGCCCUUAAAUUUGAGAAAAAGUAAUAGUUCUAAUGCAAAGAAAAAAUGUAUUUCUGUACAGAAUAAUUUUCACCUCGGAUGUGUGAAAACUGGAUACAAACUGCACAUAAAUAUUCAUUUUCUCCACAAAUGGGAAGAAAACUGUGGCAAAUAUUCAUUGCUUGUGAAGAUGAAAUAGUAAACUGCUUAGCUCACCCAUUGCUCCUGAAUUUUGAGAUCUUCAGAGGAGGUCCUGUUCCAUGUCCCAAGACCUGAUAGUGGAUACCUAUAACUGGGAUUUCUCGAUAGUAGCACCUUGUCCAAGGAAAUCCGAAGCCAAAGAAUUAGGUUGGCUCUAUCUCUUUUAAUCUUCUGGUGGGCAACCAAAACAGUGCUGAUUUGUAUGGCAUUCAGUGUUUGAAAAUGUUGUUUUGAAUGUUUCAAAAUUGGAUUCUAGGAUUGUUUGAGACUGCUUUUAGGAAUUUUAAAAGUGUAUUCUAAUAUAUUUUUAAAUGGUUUGAUCCUUGUAUUGUUUUAAUUGUUUUAUUUAUUCAAGCGUCCUUGUAGGCUAGCAAGCAAUACUAAACAAAUUAAGAUCUUUACUUUCCCAUCAUUAUAGAAAUACAAAACUAAAACACUUUUCCAGAAAAUCAAAUUUUAUGGACUUGGAACAAUACACCUCUGUAAUGCUCAGUUUUAAAAUCAAGGUUUUUUUUUUUUUUAAAGAUGUCUACCUUUUGAAAAUGGUUGUGACAGAAUUUUUUCCCCUUAUCUUCUCAAUAACUCAACACAGAGAUUCAACAGGGAGGAAUUAAGUUGCCUUUUAAGGUUACAUUUGGAUGCCAUUUUAAUAUUUUGUGGUUAUUUUAAAAUGGUAUUUCAUAAUAGUUUUUUUCUUUUCUUUUCUUUUUUUAAAUAUGUGUGUUAGAAACAGUGUCUACCCAAAUUGUUAUUUUGAAUAUGCUCUGAGAUAUGUCUGGGUGUCUUAUUGGACCCUCUGCUCACAAUGGAGGCCCAGGUCUCUGCUGUGAGCAGAUCUGCGUUUUUCCAUCUACGUCAGGCUAGGCGACUGGCUCCCUACCUAUCUAGGAACAACCUGGCGACGGUGAUCCAGGCGACGGUCAUCUCGAGGCUCGACUACUGCAAUGCCCUCUACAUUGGCCUUCCUCUGUCAGUGAUCCGGAAACUGAAGCUUGUGCAGAAUGCGGUGGCUCGUCUUCUCGCCGGGGUGCCGGCGAGGUGGCGUAUCACCCCAAUUCUACAACAGCUGCACUGGCUACCGAUUGAGUACCGGAUUACUUUCAAGAUACUGGUUCUAACCUUUAAGGUCUUACAUGGUUUGGGGCCGCGGUACCUGAGGGCCCGCUUAUCCCCCUACCAACCCCAGAGAUUACUUCGGUCCGAAGACCAAAAUUUGCUUGGAGUCCCUAACAUACGCACUUAUCAUUUGUCUUCCACUAGGCAGAGAGCCUUCUCAAUUGUAGCCCCUCAUUUAUGGAAUGCCUUGCCAGUUGAAACUCAAACUAUCCGAGACCUACUUGCCUUUCGGAAAGCCUGCAAAACCUUGCUCUUCCGACAAGCUUUCAAUGGGUGAAAAACUCGGGGCUAUAUCUGUUUUUAUUGUUGUUUUUAUUGUUGUUUUUAUUGUUUUUAUUGUUAUUUUAAAGCUAAGUGUAUUGUUUUAAUCUAUUUCUGUAAACCUGCUCCGAGCCAAACUGGGAGUAGCGGUAUACAAGUCUAAUAACAAAUAAAUAAAUAAAUAAGAACUGUU